CAAGAGACGGCUUCAAGGGGCUUCACUUACCAGAGUCUGACGGCUUGGCUUAGUCCGGGAGUCUGGUCCUCGGUGGGAUCUUGUCAGGGAUGAGGUUUGGCCUUUCCAGCCGCUCUCGGCUUCACGGCCGGCUCGGGGGAAGGCGAGGCAUCGCCCGGAGAAACCCUGUAGGCCGCUGCCCAUCUUGUCCGAGGGGAGACGGUAACCAUUUGGCUACAUGGAUUCCAUAUACAGUAGUCAGCAAGGUCCAGUGAAUGUGAAAUAUACCAAGAACUGGAUGAGUACAGCAGCGUUCUGGUUGUGCAGCAGCAGUUUGAUUUCAGUGAACAACUACCUCAAUGAAACCAAAAACAAGAUGAUCUAUCAAGCAAGAUUUCAGUCCAGGACCUGAUUUAUCCAGUAAUAACAUCAGCUUGGAUCAUAAGUCACUUGUUGUAAACAUGUUUGUCUUGAAUCAUAAUGGUAUCCAGGAACUCUCACAUGCUGCAGCUUUGACACACCACCUGUACUAUCAUCACUAAGAUUUAAUAACUUCAGUCUGUUACUCAUUUAUUUCUAUAUAUUUAUUAACUUUACUACCAAUUUAUAUACUUUGUUAAAAGUUAAAAGACUGUAACCACUUACCAGAGACUCAACAAUCAGCUAGCUCUUUUCUGUGUAGUAGAAUGAACAUCAAUUCCAAACAGCUCCAAAUAAUCUUGUUUUCUUUUGUUUUUUCAUUCUAGUUCAGUUGUAUCACCUUUAGUUUCAAUAUAUGGAUUAUUUCUAAUUGAUACUUUAGCCAUUGAAUUCAUAUGAAUAAUCAAGCAAAAUGUUUUUGAUACAGCUCAACAAAUUUCCCAGGAAAUGACGCCUUUGCUAGAUCCCACAGUAACGUUUACUUGGGAUAAAGAUUUUAUCGAGUAAAAAGUGAGGUCUGCAGAUGCUGGAGAUCAGAGCUGAAAAUGUGUUGCUGGUUAAAGCACAGCAGGUCAGGCAACAUCCAAGGAACAGGAAAUUCGACGUUUCGGGCCAGAGCCCUUCAUCAGGAAAGUUUUUAUCGAUUGUUCCACUUCUAUCUUACUUUUACACUAGCGCAUAGCUGGUGGAAUCCUAAACAUCAUGCAGAAAUCCCACCAGUAGAAGUAGGUAUAUCUGUAAGGUAUAUACACAGGACACAAUUGUUUGCUAGGUUUAUUGCUAUGUAUUAAAGUGUUAAUUUCUUCAGAGAU